UUGAACGCUGGCGGCAUGCUUUACACAUGCAAGUCGAGCGGCAGCGCGGGGGCAACCCUGGCGGCGAGCGGCGAACGGGUGAGUAAUGCAUCGGAACGUAUCCUCGAGUGGGGGAUAACCCAGCGAAAGUUGGGCUAAUACCGCAUGAGCUCUGAGGAGGAAAGCGGGGGACCUGCGAGGGCCUCGCGCUGGAGGAGCGGCCGAUGUCCGAUUAGCUAGUUGGUGGGGUAAAGGCUUACCAAGGCGACGUUCGGUAGCUGGUCUGAGAGGAUGAUCAGCCACACUGGAACUGAGACACGGCCCAGACUCCUACGGGAGGCAGCAGUGGGGAAUUUUGGACAAUGGGGGCAACCCUGAUCCAGCCAUGCCGCGUGAGUGAAGAAGGCCUUCGGGUUGUAAAGCUCUUUCGGACGGAACGAAAUGGGCGGGACUAAUACUCCGGUCUGAUGACGGUACCGUAAGAAGAAGCACCGGCUAACUACGUG
rnacentral:rRNA from 1 species